rnacentral:rRNA from 1 species
AACGAACGCUGGCGGCAUGCCUAACACAUGCAAGUCGAACGAGACCUUCGGGUCUAGUGGCGCACGGGUGCGUAACGCGUGGGAACCUGCCCUUAGGUUCGGAAUAACUCCCCGAAAGGGGUGCUAAUACCGGAUAAUGUCUUCGGACCAAAGAUUUAUCGCCUUUGGAUGGGCCCGCGUUGGAUUAGCUAGUUGGUAGGGUAAAAGCCUACCAAGGCGACGAUCCAUAGCUGGUCUGAGAGGAUGAUCAGCCACACUGGGACUGAGACACGGCCCAGACCCCUACGGGGGGCGGCAGGGGGGAAAUUGGGACAAGGGGCGAAAGCCUGACCCAGCAAUGCCGGGGGAGUUAUGAAGGCCUUGGGGUUGUAAAGCUCUUUUACCCGGGAUGAUAAUGACAGUCCCGGGAGAAUAAGCCCCGGCUAACCCCGU